rnacentral:rRNA from 1 species
GACGAACGCUGGCGGCGUGCCUAAUACAUGCAAGUCGAGCGCUGAAGGGAGGUACUUGUACCAAUUGGAUGAGCAGCGAACGGGUGAGUAACGCGUGGGGAAUCUGCCUUUGAGCGGGGGACAACAUCUGGAAACGAAUGCUAAUACCGCAUAAAAACUUUAAACACAAGUUUUAAGAGUGAAAGAUGCAAUUGCAUCACUCAAAGAUGAUCCCGCGUUGUAUUAGCUAGUUGGUGAGGUAAAGGCCCACCAAGGCGAUGAUACAGAGCCGACCUGAGAGGUUGUCCGCCACCAUUGGACUGGGACCCCGCCCCAACCCCUUCGGGAGGCCGCCGUAGGGAAUCUUCGGCCAUUGGCGGAAGUCUUGCCGGGCAACGCCGCGUGGGUGAAGAAGGUUUUCGGAUCGUAAAACUCUGUUUGUAGGGAAGGACGAUGGUGAGAGUGGAAAGCGCAUCAAGUGACGGUAACUACCCAGAAAGGGACGGCUAACUACGUG